rnacentral:misc_RNA from 1 species
GGAAGUAAACGUCGUAACAAGGUAUCCGUAGGUGAACCUGCGGAAGGAUCAUUCUUGUAUAACCGAGGUGCGAGGGCUGACGCUGACCCGAACGGUCGUGCACGCCCGAGUGACCUCACACACAUCCAUCUCACCCCUAUGUGCACCACCGCGUGGGUCCCCCUUUGGCUUGUGCGGGGGGGGGCUUACGUUUUCACGCAACGUUUAUAUGUAGUGUAGGAUGUAUUUUUUGUUUUUGCGAUCACGCAAUCAAUACAACUUUCAACAACGGAUCUCUUGGCUCUC